CUGAGCCGGUGUCUGCCUCGGACCUCCCCAGAGCUGGAGUAAAUUAGGAGUAGGCUCGCUGGGGUCAAGUGGGCUUAGUUGUCAUUUACACCGACACCUCUUUAUAUAUUACACCAGCUUCCAGUGCUGCCAGACUGGUGAGAUGGGACCUUGGUGGAAAUGAGAACCAGGCCCGGGAGGUUGUUUUUACCAGUGGCAGCACCACAUAUUCCGAGCCAUGAGCAUUCAGAAAUUGUGAGAUCAUGGGACUGUCCCAAAAUUCUUCAGAUUUAAACAUUUUUCUUUCAUUCUUUUUUAUUUUAUUUUAUUUUGGUCUUAAGGCUUCUUUCCUUGGCCACAAGGGUUAAAAAUGUUCUUUUUUAAUGUGAACAACUAAAUGAACGAUAAAAUGUCUCAUGAAAUCACGGGACUCCAGCAGAUGGGGCUCAAAGAAAAGAAUGCCAAAAAAGCUACAAAUUGACGGUGCUGCUCGGUGCCACUCCGGGCAGAAUCAUGCCUUCCCCACGGGUUUCACUGGGUGGUUUUUCUUUUCUCCUGACUGUCACCUGGAUGAUAGAUCUUAGCCUUCAGGCUCGUGCAACUCGGUUUGCUCGACUGAGGCAAACACUCCUGAGACCCAGAAUUGGGUCCUGGCUCCAGCUACUGGGCAUCCAAAGUUGGCCUUUAACCUGGUGAAAGCCCCCAGUCACAAAUAAUCCAGUACCCUCACAAAAGACAUCAGCUUUUCAAACCCAAUAGCAGAACAGGCUGGAAAAAUGAGUGAAAAAAAUCUGCAAAGUUUUAACCCUGUGCUCCCCCAACAGGUGUUUUGUUUGGCUUGUUUUUACAGCCAGAGCUGGGAUUUGAAAUUCCACCCAAGUUUGGAAAUUCAAAACCCGCUUUCCACGUCUGCAGCCACCAUUUCUGCAAAGCAAAAGAGAAGGGACUGGUGAAAAGUUUUAACUUCACAUUUGCACCAGGUCAGAAGUCAGCCUGUGGGCAGCUCGUACAGUCCAUCUGAGAAGAGUUAAGCUGCUGCACCCCUCUAAUUCAGCUGCGUAGGAUUUUCUGUCCAUGCUGUCAUUAAAUUAACCUCGUGCAAGGCAACUGGCACAGUGUGUGUUAAAGUAAUGCUAGAAAACAAGGCUUCUCUCUUAGCCUCCACAAUGUGUGGUCACAUGCAGUAAUGCAAAAUCAGUACGAGGAUAUGGGAUUGUAAGUAGGAAAGUCAGCUGUGUUGUCUGGGUUGGGCCUGCUGUUUGGCACCAGCCAGAAGGAGUUUGUUGCCAGUGUCCACAGGCUUUAGGGAGACAGGAAAAAUCUGAUCUCUGCACCAUGUUUUAGUAAUGCAAAAAGCUGGGUGGAUGCUUUUAUUUUGGUUUGUAUGCCCCAUUUCAAUUGAAUGAAAAAAAUGUCGCUCCAACCAGAGCCAAUCUGUCUUGCACUUUUUUUUCCUCUAAAUCAACUAAAUCAUUGUCUGUUCCCACGUUCAGUCUCCUACCAACAACUCUUUGGUCAGUGGAGAGGAAAGGUGAUGAAAAUGGUCCAUGCAUUAUCCAGUUAUCAAGCUGUAAUCAAUGCAUCUCAUCCUCCACUGGCUCCCUAGCCUGACCCAGCGCACAAAGGGCAGUAAAUUUCUGAGAGGGCUGGAGCAACGCGAGGCACAGAUCCUUACAGAUGGGAAACAAAGACCAAGAGCGACCAAGUCACCUUAAGUCUGAUACAAACUCAGGUGAAAAUGAUGGAAGUUGAAAGCCUCUAACCUGGGCACAGGCCAAGUGCUCGUCUUUUGGGGGCCGUGUCUUUGUUAAACAAUGCCUGCUGUGAUGGGUUUUGCUGGUGUCCUCUCCUGAGUUAGCACUUUCCUCUCUCAAGCUCUGAGCACAACAGGUACCAGGUUUCAGCUGUAGCCUUGAGAUGACACCAUGAAAAUGGGCUGGAUCCAAGCAUCCAUGCUAUCCUGCAGGGCAGAAGGUAUUUAUUUGAGUCCCCACCUGUGACUUCUCCCAGUGCUGGAACCAGCCACACCGAGAGCCAGCGAGGAGCCCCAGAACCUCAGGGGUUUGGGAUCGAGCCUGCCUUUCUGGAAGAGGCAUUUUACCCAGCACAGGGCAUUGGGUUAAGUCUGGACAAACCGAGACACAGGAAUUACCGAGUAAAAUGUCCCGGCCUGUCUUCUCCAGGAGGUCAUCUAGAUGAUCUGUUUGUCUCUUCUGGCCUUUAAAUCUACUAAUCUAUUUUCCCUUCCAGGAAAUAUAACUAUAUUCUGAGAACAACAGCCCCUUAGGAAAAAAAUAAAUAAGGAAGGAAAGCAUGCCUUUGAAAAACAACAGCAAAGAAAAAAACCUUUCAACUAUAAAAUAAACUAAGGUACAAGAUGCAAUUAACAAUGCACAAACAGCAGAGCCUGGAAUGUAAAUUGUAUUUAAAUAGGGCUGUGAAGAAUGUUUCAGUCCCCUAAAUGGCUUCUCUCUCCUGCUGCCUUGAACCUCCAAUCAAGCCCUGCCUGGGAGUAAUUUGGUGCUGGAAAUUGUUGCCACACGAACAGCUGAAGGCUGGCAGGGUCACCGGCCCCCCGUGUCACACCCUGUCAUUUUAGAUUAAGAUAUGCAAAGGCGACACGGCUGCGAACUUUCCCUUUGCUGCCGUGGCUGUGUCCAUCCCCUCGGCUGUAAUGAGAGGAAGGCGUAAUUGGAGUCAACUGCUUGAUUAUGAUAAUUGCUACUGUCUGGGGGAAGAAACAUUUGAGUCCUGGAGCUUGAUCCAUGCUGCACCUUUGGGGUGAUUGCUGUCUGUUUGCCAGCAGAUGGGCCUGGCAGAAAGCAUCCUUUUUGGCCCCGCUUUGGCCCCUUGACCUCAGCUUGACCACUUGUUGGCUCCACGAUUGCAGGCAGGGUCACGGGGUUUUCUGGCUCUUCUCUGCUUCCCACCAGAGGAUUUGUCCUGAAGGAUUUAUCCCCUAAGAGGGAAAGGGCCUUUUGAAAAUUUAUCCCCAGCUCUUCGCGGCAACACAACUGGGAGAUGAGGUGCCGUAUAUUUUCCACCGGGAUAUUUAUCGCUUUUCAUUGUAUGUCCCAGCAACAGUCGGUGGGAAAUACCUCCAGGAAGCUGGGCUGGUCAAUCUGUUCCACCCUGCCUGUCUUCAUCUGCUGAGAGCUGAGACGGUCCCAGAGGUCAGGGCACGGCGAUGGGGGCAAGGAGCUGGCUGCUCGGUUUUCUGAGCUUCCAGCAAACCCUACUGGGAUCUUCCCCGAGUUACCUCAUGUGCAUCCGUGCCCCUUUGAGAAAAGGAGAUGGCCCCUUCUCGGCACCAGUUUGUUUGUCAGUGCUGUUAAACGGUCCUGAGAUCCUGCGAUAUCGACGGGAGGAUCUCGCGGUUGGGGUGUGAACCCGGGGGAAGCGCUGCGCUGCUCCCGGAUCCACCGCAGGCUCGGGCAAGUCUCUGAGGCUGGGAGCCUCGGAGCAAUUUGCAGUUUCAGUGGGAGUUAAACACUUAAAUAUCCCCGGGAAGCUUGGCCACAAGUUCCAUGUGCAGCAAUUUCCCUUCUGCCAGUAACCCUGGCCGGCACUGGUGUGAGCACAGAGGCCUGUAAAAGCCCUGGGACUGAGAUCACACAGAUAUAAUUAAGGUGGCGAGAGGCGUAUUGUUAAUUCAUGGCUAUUAUUUAUUAAUAUCAGCCUUAGGUGCAAAGCUCAACUCUAGCUGUGAAGCAACGAGCACAGCCUGAGCAACAAUAAUAAAUAACCAACAAAGUAAUUGGAUAAUUGUUUCCUUGGUAUCUUAAAAGUUUAACAAGAUUUUUUUUAUUUUUUUCCGAAUGUUCACGUUCGAGAGCAUGGAGGGAAAAGCACUGCUUGCAUAAAGGGUGAGAUACAAAAAAAUCAUUGAAAAUGGAAAAAAAAGGAGCCACAGGUAAUGCUGUGGGUUUUCAUUUCACCUCCUCAACACGGGGCUUUGCCCUGCUGAUGGCCAGCAGUGAGGGGCCAGGGCUUUUGGAGCUUUUUGGCAGGGCCGUUAGUUCUCUUGCUCGUGAAAUGCCAAAGGCAGCUGACAAAAAAACCUCUUCUCAUAUAAUUCCAACUUUAUUUUACCAAAUCCUGAGCGCUCCUUUGCUGCCAGCAGCUCCACCUCUUUCAUCCAGGAGCUGGUGACACCGCUGUUGCUGCUUUGAUGGCACUGCAGGUGUGGGUUUAGCAGCGGGACGUGGAAACGAAGCCUUGUGGACCGAGCGUCCUGCCAGACCCCAAGGCAAGGCUGCAAAACCCCAGCUGUAUUUCACAGGGAGCUGCUAAGAAGCAGCUUUGUCCCUCAAGGAGCUUUUGCAGACCUUGCUGGAGGUUCCUCCAGGGGUGCCAGGGAGAGGAGCCCAUCCGUAGGAAGCUCCCGAUGCCACUCGUGCCGUGUUGGAGGGGGCACGGGGACCACCAGCACCCUCUCAGCCGAGGACUGACCUCCGGGACCCCUCGCGUGUGCCGGGUGGCCGCGUUCCCUCGCACUGCACAUCAUGCAAAUAAAAGCCUGACCUCCAGCGAGAGGCAGGUCACAGCGCUGGGCACGCCGGAGCGUGGUGGCCGUGGUGGGAUGGAUGCAGAUCUCAGUCAUUCCUCAACGCCAUCGCGGGGAACGGGAGUCUGAAAGACAUUACCUGGGUGUUAGUAAAAGAUUUGCUUUUCCUGAACUUUCUCUAUA